UAACACGUGGGUGACCUGCCUUUAGCUCUGGGAUAAGCCUGGGAAACUGGGUCUAAUACCGGAUAUGACCUCAUGAUGCAUGUUGUGGGGUGGAAAGCCUUGUGCGGCUAGAGAUGGGCCCGCGGCCUAUCAGCUUGUUGGUGGGGUGAUGGCCUACCAAGGCGACGACGGGUAGCCGGCCUGAGAGGGCGACCGGCCACACUGGGACUGAGACACGGCCCAG
rnacentral:rRNA from 1 species